rnacentral:lncRNA from 1 species
GUUUAAGCUACAGGGUCUGGCAAGAUGAACAAAUUGACUCUUGGUUCACAAAAAGGGGUACAAGAUGGAGUACAAAGGUAUAAUGUAUUUUGUCCAAAGAAUAGGUAUAUCACCUGGAGUGAAAGAAGGUAGUAUACGAAUGCAUCAUGGAAAUGAAUGGAGUGAAGUGACUGAAGUCACAUAAUAGAAGAACUUGGAAACAAGUGACUGAAGAAGUAUUGUUUGAGAUUGAAAGGUGAAAGUGUA